rnacentral:rRNA from 1 species
CCUACGGCAGGCAGCAGUGAGGAAUAUUGGUCAAUGGGCGCAAGCCUGAACCAGCCAUGCCGCGUGCAGGAAGAAUGUCCUAUGGAUUGUAAACUGCUUUUAUUUGGGAAUAAACCCCCCCACGUGUCGGGGUCUGAAGGUACCAAAUGAAUAAGCACCGGCUAACUCCGUGCCAGCAGCCGCGGUAAUACGGAGGGUGCAAGCGUUAUCCGGAAUCAUUGGGUUUAAAGGGUCCGCAGGCGGGCAUAUAAGUCAGUGGUGAAAGCCUACAGCUCAACUGUAGAACUGCCAUUGAUACUGUAAGUCUUGAAUUCGGUCGAAGUGGGCGGAAUGUGUAGUGUAGCGGUGAAAUGCAUAGAUAUUACACAGAACACCGAUAGCGAAGGCAGCUCACUAGGCCUGGAUUGACGCUCAGGGACGAAAGCGUGGGGAUCAAACAGGAUUAGAUACCCUGGUAGUCCACGCUGUAAACGAUGAUUACUCGUUUUCGGCGAUAUACAGUCGGAGACUAAGCGAAAGNGAUAAGUAAUCCACCUGGGGAGUACGNUCGCAAGGUUGAAACUCAAAGGAAUUGACGG